rnacentral:ncRNA from 1 species
CCGCGACGAUCUGGAAAGCGGCCGGGCCCUUCGGGGCACGUCCCACCGAAGGGGUAAGCGGCGGCGCUCGUGCGUCGUCGUGAAAGCUCUCAGGUCAGGGUGACAGGUGGGGGCAU